CGAGACCAGGACGUUGAUAGGCUGGGUGUGGAAGUGCAGUAAUGCAUUAAGCUAACCAGUACUAAUUGCCCGUACGGCUUGUCCCU
rnacentral:rRNA from 1 species